UCUUUGAACUUUUUCUUUAGCAAGUUACGACCAAAGAAUUCCCAAAGUCCAAAUUGAAGGCUUCAAAAUCUAAAUCAACAGAAAGGUUAUAGCAAUAUUUUCAAACUUAUAAAGUCUCAAGACAAAAGUUAAAAGAAAAAGAUUUAUUCGUUAGUCCUUAUUUGUGGCUUUACAAGUUGUAAAACAACAACUGCCAAUCGCAUUCGUUUCAAUAUUUGGAAAGGUUGAGGGUAUAUUUCGGGUAUAUUUCAGAGGAACAAUAUGAUCUGAUAACUGAUUUUUUUUAGGGGCGGAGAGAGAGAGAGAGAGAGAGAGUAGUUGAACCGUGGGUGGCCACUNNNNNNNNNNNNNNNNNNNNGGAGAGAGAGAGAGAGAGAGAGAGAGUUUGAACCUGGGUGGCCACUGACCAAAUUGGAUAUUGUGGGUAGCACUUUGACCAUAUAACUUAAUUAACUCGGGGUGUGUUUGGUUGGAGGGAGGGGGAGUUUGGAAUCGGAGUCGAAAUGGAUGACUUUUAUUUUAAUCGUUUGGUUGGAAGGAGUUCUAUUCUGAUCUGAUUUCAGGAUGGAAUAGGAAUGGCUCAAUCUAUAUAAAACUCAAUCUUUACUCUCCUCUAUAGAUUCAAUUUUUCAUUUUGAUUCCGAUUCCGAUCACAAACCAAAUAUUUUGAAAGGUUUGUUGAUUCCAAUUUCAAACUAUUUCGAUUCUAAUUUUCAUUCUUAUUUCGAUUGCGAACCAAACCUCCUCUUAAAUGACUGCAGCAAUACUGCAAAAAUGUAGAAAAAAUUCAGAUAUGCUGAGCCUUCCAUAAGCAUUUCAAAUCACCAUCCGCCGAAGCUCCAAAUAAAAGUGAUGCUGCAAACAAUCUCAGAGAUGUUUUUAAGAAAGAGAUACAAUUAAACAAUUGUGCCAGGUGUGUUCUUUGGGACCCGGUAGCAAUAAAAGUCCAUGGUGACGCCUAAGAUCGUUGCUUGCGGCGAGUUCUAUUGAUUGCAAGCUUGAGCCACACCAUUCUCAUCAAACACCAAGUAGAAGGGCACUGCUCCCUUUCUUCAUGGGUGACUCGAUCGAAAGAAAACGACUUGCAUCAAUCACCGAAAUUUGCAUGACGAGGAUUACAGCAGUGAGCUUGCAAAUGAUAUCCGCUGCUACGAGGCGGUGGUCGUGGAGAAGGGAUUAGCAUGCAUGGCAAGCUGGAAGGCAUAGGAAGGGAGGCUGAUGGAGAACAAAAGUUGCUUGAUUGCAUCACAUUGAUCUAGUGUGACCAGAUGCCAAGGCCUAGUGCAGCAUAUGGUGGAACCAUGGAAGCCGCCACCUUGUAUAUGUCCUCUCAUCCCAUCAUAUAGCCUUACUUUUCAUCCCUUCCUAAGGACCCUUGGGAGCCUUUUUAGCAAAGUCUCUAGGAUGCAAGGCAGUUUGUAGCUUAUCUGGUCCUCUCUUUCAAAGGUUUUAUACAUAGAAAAAUAGGGGUGGAGAAAGAGAGAGAGAGAGCAUGGGUAGGAAAAAGGGAUGAGAUGGUGGAUGCAUGGGAUUCCAAUGCAGUACUUGAUGCUUAUGAAGCUCUUGUAAAUAAGCAACGAAGGGCAGGUUUUUGGUCUUGAGGUCCUUUUAGAGCAGCUACAGCCAAUGAGCAGCCUGCUGAAGCCAUUAGGAUAAAGAAAGAGGUUUCACCCAUGUUAAAAGGGAUAAAACUUUUAUGAUCGGAUCGAUCACGAAAGGAAUUAAUGUUGGAUUGUCAUCGCCUAUCACACCUCUGAAGCACACCGCGCGCAUGUAAUACUAAGAAAAUAAGAAUGGAUAAAUCCUAGGAGGUUAUGAGAUGUUUAUCAAAACUAUUCAAAUAUCCUUAGGAUUUAUCUAUUUUUAUUUUUUUAAUAUUUUAACGUGUGUGCAUAAAUAUGCACGGCAUGUGGUAGGCGAUGAUGGUCCAACCAUAAUUCUUUCUAUAAUCAGUCCGAUCAUAAAAGUUUUAUCCUGUUAAAGAAGUGUUUGGAAGCUAAUUAUUAUUUAUUGUUCAUGAGGAGCACUGGAAUAUAGAAUGCCCAGAAUGAUGGCAGCCCGUGAAGACAACUAGGAUAGAAAAUAUUAACAUGUUUCUUUGAGAAAAUAGAUACUUAACCCUGCGGGCAUUAUCAAUGUGCAUUGGGAUUAGUUUGAAAAAUCCAAACCGGACCUAACCCUGACUCAACUUAAACUUGAUUGCGAUAAAUAAAUUGAUCGGCAUUUAUGCUUCUGCUAGACUACUUAUAUGAUCCAUUCAGUUAUAUUCUCAGUCUUAUUAAAUAAUAUAAUUGCAUAAAUGCACAAAAAAAAGACCCCUAUCAAUGUAAUAUCAACUUGUGAAAAAUGCCCAAAAUAUUUCCCCAUUCUCAAAUUACGUAAGCAGCACAACUUAAGGGCUAUUUGCAUGAUUGGACCCAAAAUCUGAUAAGCUUGUUGACCGGCCAAUACUACCAUCCAAAUCAGAUUAGGUAGGUUAUAUUUAUACAAGAAAAAUUCUUUGCGCACUGUAUGCGGUGCAACAAAAUUGAUACGGAGCAUAUCCCCCAAUCAUAUUGGAUCACGUAGUGCAAUUAAUAGUGGUAUAGCCAUUUAAUGCCAUAUAGCUUAUUUCUCAAUUUUUUUCUAAUGAAAAUGCUUUUUCUCUCUAUAGAACAAAGAAAGAAUAGUAUUAUUACUUUCUAAUGCCUUGUAUAACUUCCUAUGAAUAUAUAUGACAUCCUGAACAAUAUAUAUGAAAUUUUGUAUCUUUAUAUGAUAUUCUGAAUAAUAUGUAUAACUUUCUGGAUCUUAUAUGACUUCUUAUGAAUAUAUAUGAUAUCUUGAACAAUAUAUAUGAUUUCUUGUGAAUAUAUAUAUUUUUCUGAACAUUAUAUAUGACUUUCUUAUACUUUAUAUGACCUCUUGUCAAUAUAUAUAACAUCAUGAAUAAUAUAUAUAACUUUCUAUAAAUAUAUAUGAUAUCUUGAACAAUAUAUAUGACUUUCUGUAUCUUUAUAUGAUAUCCUGUUGAUUAUUAUAACCAAUAGAAAGUCAUAUAAGGCAUAAGGAAGUCAUAUAAUAUUAAUUUUUUGUACUUUUCUAAUGAUUAGUUUUUGGCUCCAACAGCUAAUCCAAACUUUCUAACGGUCAAAACUCAUUCUCUAACAACUCCUAAGCCUAUUAAGAGCUGGAGAAUCAAUUGAAAAGGAAACUAAGUAGAUUGAAAAGAGAAAACCAUCAAAUAGGAUGAGGUUCAUUGAAUAUUCUUGAAAAAAAAAGGAGAGGAAUUAAGUGCACAGAUUUGAGAGCUUUCAAAAAAUGAUCUUCUCCAACAUCAUCUAUAUCCUCUCAAAUAUCAAUUGAAGAAGUCAAGCUUUAAAAGAGUGAAUCAUCAGCUUCUUCUUAGCGCCCAAAUGAGUUUAUAUUUUUUAUUUUUAUUUUCUAUACUGAAAAUUAUAUCUUAUAUUUUAUUUUCUUUACAAUUUUUUUUUUAAAAAAAACUUGAGGAUUAGACCCAUCCAAGUCUGAAAUUGGACUUGUUAGGUUUUGGUUGGUGAACUUGCAAAAUCAACUGGAUUGAUUGUAAGUCCGAAAAAUAAUCAGUGUAUGAUUUUAGUUGGUGAGCCCGAAAAAUCAACUGGAGUGAUUAUGAGUCCAAAAAAUAAUCGGUAUAUAGAUUGUAGUUGGUAAUUUUCGAAAAUCAACUGAGAGCGGAUGUAAGUACAGGGUUACACCGAACCACUAUAAAAUUACUUAUCUUUAUAUUAUACUUUGUGUACUUGCUUUUAAUUCUUGCUUUACAUUCUUACUUACUUUUAUUAUUCUGCUGCAACAUAAUUGCAUAUAUCCCACAAUCACUAAGAUAGCUUAAAUUGAAGCACAUCAUUAUUUAGAUUACAGAUUUAGUUAAAAUUUUUAAAGAAUCCAAUUCACCUUUCUCUUGAGUUGCUAUCUUUUUGGACAACAAUUGGUAUCAGAGCAAGUACUCUGUUAUUUAUUAUUGACCUAGUGGUCUAAAGCCAAAGAUCUUGGUAACUCAAACGGAAUUCAUUGUUAAUAAAGGCUAUUCUAUAGAUCGUCCCUCAUUAUUAAAUGGAUCAAAUUAUAUAUAUUGAAAAAUUAAGAUGAAAAUCUUUAUAUAAGCAAAUGAUUAUAAUUUAUAAAAAAUUAUAGUCAUGGCCCACAUAUAGCUAAUACAUUAAUUGAGUAUAAUAAAAAAAUGACCCUAUUAAAUGCUAAGACUAUGAAUAUGCUUUAUUGUUCAUUGGAUAUGAAUAAAUUUAAUAAAAAAAUUUUAUGUAUUUAAGGUAAAUAAGUAUGAGACAAAUUGAAAGCUACUUAUAAGGGAGCAAAUUAAAAAAAAAAAAAUCAAGCUCUCAAGAAGAUAAGGAGGGUCUCCCAACAUAUGUCCCAUGGCCCAUAAGGAUGACAAGAAGAAAAAGAAGAAGAAACAAAAGAAAAAAAAAGCAUCAAUUAAGAGGGAGUAAGGUGAGAAAAAAAAUAAAAAAGAGGAAGAAGGUACUGUAAAUCUUUGCCUCAUGGCUCAAAAUGAUAAGAUAAAUAUUGAAAAACUCUUUUAAAUUUAUUUUUGAUAAAAAAAAUUAUUUACAAAAAAUAAAUAUAAAAAAAAAUAUUAUUGAAAAUGGUGAAUAAAAGAAAGAAAUUGAGAGAUUGAAGUUUUUAUAUAUAAAUUUAUAUUAAGUUCUCAAAAGCUUCAAAUGAUUUUGAACAAUCAAAAAAUUGUUUUCAAUAAAACUGGAAUAGAUUUCAAUCAAUUGAGAAAAUAAAAAUUUAUUAAGAAUAUGUUUUCAAGAGCUUAUUAUGAAAAUCAUUCUAUCACAUGUUUAAAUGCAACAAAUUAGACCAUAAAAAUUCAGAAUGUAAUAUUAAAAAAAAUGAUCAUACUUUGAUUAAAUAAAUUUGAGUUCUUAAAGAAAUCAUGUACACUAACUCCAAUGGACCUAAGAAAGCUUAGACACCAAAAUUCAAAAAAUAAUUUUACAUAUGUGCCAAGCAUCCAAUCGUAUGAACAAAGUGAAUUCUUGAAGAUGGAUGUUUAAGACUUAAGAUGGAUGGAUGAUGAUAUUUGAUAAAAGCUAAACUUUUCUCAUAUCAUACCAUCAUUGAUUUCUGAUAUUAUUUUAUUUAAAUGACUGAUUUUGAUACUUCAUAUGCAUGCAUGAUAUUGUGAUGAUAUUUCGAUGCUUGCUUGAAUAUAUUGAUAAAUAUUGUUGCUGCAAGUAGAGCUAUUAAUUUAGGUUGGGCUCGUCGGGUUGGCUUGCCCCGCUAUGUAAAUGGGGUGAGUUGGGUUUACAUUUUAGCAACCCAUUUAAAAGCGAAUCAAAUAACCCACCCUAUUUGGGUUGGCGGGUUGGGGCGGGCUGGGCCCCCUAUUUUGUUUAGUAAAAAAAAAUAUUACCAAAUCUCCUUGAGGCCUUGAUCCUUGUCCAAUUAUCUGCCUAUUUUGUUUAAUAAAAAAAUUUACCAACCCCCUAGAGAUCAUGGAGAGGAUGCGAAGAGAAGAUGGGAGGGUUAACAGUUUUUUUUUUGGGAGGGGGAUUUUGGCGGGAUGGCCCAUUUAACCCGCAGCCCAUGAUAGGUUGGGUCGGGUUGGAGUUUUUCCAACCCGUCAGUUAAACGGGUCAGCCCGCCCCACCCCAUUUAGAGGUGGGUCAGGGUGGGUCGGUCCGUCUUGACAGCUCUAGCUAUAAGACUCGAAAUCUAGAAUAGGACAGAUCGAAUCGAAUGAGGCAGGACUGGAGCGAUCGUUGCGAUCCGAUGGGAGUUCAAUCUGCAAAAUCAGUCAAAAAAUUGGAUGGAGAUCCUGCAGUUCAUUUUUGAUCCUCCGAUGCUUAAGUCAAUUCGAAUUUUGAGAAUAAAGGUCGAAAAGAAUGGGAGAGCAAGAGAGAUCGAGUGGAACCGAAGGAGGACUGGGUAGGAACUAGGAUUUUGAUCGAGUUUUCUACCAGCAGCAUCUCCCCUAAUUUUAGAGAGCAAAAUUUAUCGAUGGAGGAUCCCUGACCUUCUAUUUAUAGAGGGAUUGAGGAGGCCGUUUCAGAGUUUGUUAGGUCAUUAGAAGAGUUUGUUAGAUGGUUAGAGAGCCAUCUGUAAAUGAGCUAAUAUAUAGCUGUACAUAUGAGCUGGACAUGAGAUCAUAUCUGGCUGUAUCUGUCAUCAUAUAUGAGAUCGUAGAUAGCUGUGGCUUGAUUGUAGAAACCAUUGUGAGCGUUCAUGAAACAAUUAAGUCCAUCAAUAUAAUAGUUCACUUUGAUAGAUGAUCGAGAUGAAAUAGAGACUAGUCAUAAUAAUCAUCCCGGAUAUAAGAGGCACCAUGAUUUAGAUUGGUAAAUAUCUGAUCUGAAUAUUCUUUUAUCAGCUGCGACUUGUCAUCCCGGAUAUAGAAUACCAAGAUGUCUCUUAUUCAAGUCGAUAAAAUACCGAUCUGAAUCUGCUUAUUGAUAAGUUGAUCUGUUGUAACUUGGUGCUUUGAGAUUGAUAUCUUUUUGAUCUUAUAUGACGAUGCUAUGUAUCUUGGGACUGAUUUAGUGCACCAACAAAUAUGUUCUCUUAACUCUAAGUAUCAUCUUGAAUAUUAUAAGUAUAAAUCUUCAUUUUCAAAUUCAACAUGCUCUCGUAACUCCACAUAUCAUAUUAUUUUGAUUAUUUAAGAAAUUUACAAUUAAAAAUAGGCUUGAUUGUAUAAGAAAUUAUUUAAGUGAAAAGCUUACAAAAUAAUUUUGACAUUCUUAUAAGAUAUCUAAUUAUUAAAAUUUAUCGAAAAUUGUAUGAUCUAAGAACUUCCAAGAUAAGUCCACAUAAUCAUUAAAAAAAAAAUCAUAUGCUUGAUGCUUUUGAGUUGCAUUGCAUUUUCGGUUGAUUUUUAAGGAUUAAAAAAAAUUCUUAAUAGAACCUAACUUUUAGAGCCUUUAUCUAGUUUCCUCACAGCUUACCCUUGAUUUGAUUUGAUUAAUCAUAAAACCCCAAUUGAUUAAUCCUUGAUCCCCCAAAUUGAUUUUAAUAUCUGUCUUGAUCAUUAAUUUGAUCACCAUUGAUCCCUAUUCAAAUUUGAGCAAAUUUUUCUUUGGAUCAAAACUCCCUGAACUAUUCUGCUUUGAGGAGUCGACUCUUGGUUCUAGAGAAUCGACUCAUAAUUUUCAAGAGAAAAAUAGUUUUGUGAGGAGCCAAUUCCUAGUUUUAUUAGAGUUAACCCCCCUUCAGGUGCUUACUCUUGAUUUAGCAGGAGUCGACCCUUAUGUCUAGGAUGGAUUUUUAAUCAAAAUAUCCCAAGACUCUAUCAUUACUUUCUCAAUUUUUUUGAAUCGUAAUUCCUUUCAAACCCCUAUCUAACCAAAUUCAGCCUCCCCUCUUUAUUUUCAUCCUAUUCUUGUGGUCUUUAUUCUUCAAUGGUACCCCGAAAGCAAUUCAUAUAAAGGAAGAGGAAGUCCCAUGCUGAAAUUCAAGAAUUUAGAGUUUCUCCAAGUAGUUCUCCCAUAUAAGAAAAGAUCAAGCAUCAAAAUAAUUGGAAGUCUAGAUUUCAAAGUAAAGGACGUGUAUAUUGAGAUGGAUAUCGAUAGCAUUGGAUGCAUGCUACACAUCCAGACUAAUGGGAGCAACUCGGAUCAUCUCAAGUAACAACAUAUUUGAGAUUUAUUUUGGAUUGAGAUGAUAUCGAGGGUAUCGAAGAUAUCAGUACCAGUACUCAUGCUACAACAGAUAAUGACAAUAAGACUCCCAUAGUGGAGCCCAUUGCAGUCGAUAUCAGGACUAAGGAGCUAGUAGAAUAGUAUAAAUAGAUAAAGAUAGCUUCACCUUCUCAGACCUACCAUCCAAAGAGUAGCUCGUGACUGUCUGAUAGUCUGAAUGAGGAUGCAUUUGUUGAGAGAGUUUUCAUCAGGAUCGUCACUUCAGUUUGUGCAGAGUUUUAGAGGUACACUUCAAAGGCACAGCAGAUCUGAUGAAGACAUUAUUUUUGAUUAGAGAGGAGACUGCGAGGAUGAUUCAGGCUAUCACUGUAGCGAGGGUUGAUAUUCGGUGUCAGUCAUUUGGAGAUAUUAGACCACCCUCUUUAUCUAGCCAGUCUGAACCUUCAUCCUAGGAUUAUCCUGACCUACUCUCUUAGGAUGCUAGAAUUUAUUUCUUAGAGCUAUAGUAUCCCUAGUAGUCCACCUUUUGAUAGAAAGAGAUUGCAUAUAUUUUGCAUGUACUGACAUUUUCCAUCUUUAUAAUCAUAUUUUGAAAAUCAAAGAAAUAUAAUUUUUUAUGAAAAUUCGAUAAGUUUGAUGUUACUUGUUUGAUCUCUAUAUUUAUGUGUUUGAUUGAAAAUGUGUGUAGUUUAUAACACUAAGGGGGAGAAAAAUGUGUUCUUGCAAUGCUUGCUUUAAAUUAAAUGAAUAUACAUUCUUUGAAAGAAAAAAGAAGAGAAUUAAGAAAAUUAAAUAUUUUGAGAUUUACCAUUAAAAAUAGGGGAGAAAUCAAAAAUUAAAAAGAGAAAUAAUUUCUGGACACAAUAAGAGAAAUCAUUAUUAAUCUUAAAAAAGAGAUCAUUGAUAAAUAAUUGCACUUUGCUAAUCUUAUCGAUUUAUUUGAGCAUUCAUGUGGUUUUAUUCAUUUGAUUGUACUUGAUAUGUUUUGAUUAUAUCAUCAUUCUCUUUAAUAAUUAAUUGGUAUUUGAAAAAUAUUUUGCAUCAAUUGAUGAUUUUUGAAAAAUGAACUUGAAAAAUGCUUUUUAUAAUUGGUAUCAAGCUGAAUUUGCAUUAUAUUUCCAUAUUUUGUUUAGAUCGAUCAUUUUUAAUGAAUGAAUUUGAAAAUUGAUUUUCUUUGAUCUUCAAGUGGUAUAAAAUUUUCAAGAAAAUCAUGAUUUGGUUCAAUAGGUAUCAAGAAAACUUUCAAGCAAAAUUAUUUGAUUUAGUUUUCAAAACAAUUGGUAUAAAAUAAUUAUUUUCAUAAUUGGUAUCAGACAACCAACAAUUGCCUUAUACUUUCUUGUUCUAUAUCUUGGCAAAAGGAAAAGAAUAUUUUAUCUCAAAUUUAUUUCAUUUUGAUACCAUAUUUUACUCUGAUACAUUCUUGAUAUAAUAUCAUUUGAGAUAAACCAUAAAAAUUGAUAUCUUUUCAGAACUUAAGUGAUUGAUGCUUUUCGAGGAAAAAAAAGAAUGAACUUUGAAAAACUCAGCAUAUCUUUAAUCCUUGCAAAGCUCUAUCUUUGUCAUUUGAAAAGGGGAGAGAUGUGUUUUUAAAUUGACAUUGUUCCAAAAUUCCAUCUGAAUUUGCUGCAUACUUUUCAAAGGGGGAGAAAAUAUGAAAUAUGAAUUUGAAAGUUGGAUCCAAAUCAAAUUUAAAGAGGAGGAGAAGUUGUAAAAUUUGAAUAUAAUUUCAAUUGAUUUUGAUGAUAUUCUUUUAAAUUUUGUCUUCCACUUUAUUGCUUCAUCUUUGGUACAAGAAAUGAAUAUUUAGUUUCAAAUAUAUUUUGCAUUGAUAUAUUUAUGAUAUGAUAUUAUUUGAGACAAGUUCAAAAAAAAAAUCAUCAUACUUUUUUUUGAACUUAAUGAUUGAUAUCUCUUAAAGAAAAGAAAGAGAUAUCUUUUGAAAAAGUUAACAUAUCUUAUGCACAGUUUUGACACUCAAAAUCUUUAGUAUUGAAAAACUCUAUCACAACAUAUCUUUUACUUGCUUUAAAGCUUAAAGUGUACAGAAAACUUAAAAAGGGGAGAACCUUCUGAAAAUCAAAUUUUAAAAAUUUAACUUGAUUUUGAUGAUUCAUUUUAAAUCAUUUCCUUGUGCUUUUUGAUGCUGUUAAAAAGAGAAAGAGUUAUAUUGAGUAUAUGCCUAAAUUGAGCUUAAAUUUAUCACAUGCUUAAAUUUGAAUUUAAGAUAAAUUAAAGAUAAAUUGAAAUAUUCAUGAAGAAUAUACUUACAAGUACUUAGUUAUUUAACUUCAUGAUUAUAUUUGUAAAUCAAUUGAAACAUGUUAUAUUUUUAUUGCAUAUAUACUCAAAAUUUUGUCAUCAUCAAAAAGAGGAAGAUUAUUGACCCUAUGAUUGAUUUUGAUGAUUCUAAAAUUUUGAGUAUAAUUUAUACUAAUCAUGUGUUUCAAAGAUGAAUAUAGGAGUUUUUAGAUACUUAAAUUGAAGAAUCCAUCCAUGAAAAAAAUCUUCUUAAAGAUGCCAAGCCAAAGCACUUCAAAGAAUGAAAUUUCACAAAUCUAGCUCAGAGGAGUUGACCCCAGGAGAAGAGGAGUCGACUCUGACACGUUAGAAGAAAAUGACACAAGCUCGAGUCGACUCAUAAAUAAGACAAGCCGAUUCUCUAAGAGAAGAUAAAAGACUGUAUUUUCAGGACUGCAACUUGGAUCGAUCGUUGAAAAGCUGGAGUCGAUUCUAGGAUAGAUAGAGUCAAUCCUUGAGAAAUUGGAGUCGAACCUAAGUAUGGGACUACACUAACGGCUAGUUUUCUACACUAUUUCUGUAAUAUCCAGUCCCACAGCAAAAAUCUCAAAAUAUAGAAAAAAAAUAAAAUUUGGGCUAACACGUGCAAUGCACGUGCUGGAAAUUAGCAUGGAAAGAGGAUUGUGCGCGUGAACUCCCGAUGGAGUUUUUUUCAGAAAAGGAAUCCUAAAAUCCUAAGAAAUUGAGAAAGAAUUAAACUCAAAAUCCUUCCCAUUGAAACUUAUUUAAAGGCCCUAAUCCCUCUGAUUUUCCUCAUCAAAAAUCACCAAGAUUUGCUGUUUUUGUUUCCCUUCCUUUCUUCUCGAUUGUCGGUGGUUUACCAUGCUGUAGUCAUUGAAAAUUUGAUCAAAACCAAUCAAAAACUAGGUAAAUCUCCUCUAUAUCUCCUUCUUAAUCUUUUGUAAGUCUUAAGCAUGAGUUUUGCCAAAAUUUUUCUAUCAAAAAUCCAUAGAAAAUUUUGUUUUUUGAGUUCCCUAUUUUCCCUUAUUUGUUUUUGGGUUUUGUCGCUGGUUGCCAUCACCGAUCAUCGGACCUAGGCUGCCGGUCACUGCCAUGCCCUGCUCCUCCAGAUGCGAGCCUUGCCGAUGGGAAGGAAGUCACCUUGGCUUCGAGAAUAAGGGGGAGGAUGACCUCCCCUGUUCCAGUGAGGAAGAAGGGGAAGAGGAAGCACGGGUCCUCUGCUCCCGUGGGAAAAAAAAGAAAAAGAAAAAAAAGGGAAAAAAAGAAAAGAGAGAGAAUUUUUUCCUCAUCUCUCUCUUCCUAUUCUAAGUUGAAUCCCUACUUUCUCUCCCUACUUUCUCUCUCUAAAAUUUUUUUCCUAGAUCGUUUUCCUCUUUCUGCAAUUCUCUCUCCAUGAUUGAUCUAGUAAAAGAUGUUUUUUAUGAUUCUAAUCCGAUCCUAAUAAAGAAAGUCCUGAUCCGUGGUCGCUAGGUAGCAUGCCAGCACCCACCUUGAUCAAAUCCAGAUACUUAUAGAUUUGAUCAUCUUUGAUCUCAGUUGGACUAUCUGUUUUCUAUUCUAAUCAUGAUCAGAUAAAAUUAUCUUUGAUUCGACCGAUUGGGAUGUUGAGCACUAUUACUUUUACGAGCCUUGUGAGAGUGUUAGGACUUUAAUUUUUAUUGGUUAUGGUUUAAGAUUGAUAGAAAACAAUAUAUUUAGAUGAUAGGUUCUGAAGGAUGCUUUCAAGAUUGAUUGAAUCUAUCCGUUCAGUAUUUUGCGAAGGUAAGUAAUGAACUGUCUUCUCGAGAUAUUUCAUAGUUAAUUUGAAAGCAAAUAUUAGUCUUUGAAUUGUGCAUUAUUUAUGAAACUGUGUUUUGAAUGAAAAGUAAUUUCUAAAAUAAUAUGUUUAUGCAUAUGUUCAGUGGAAAGUAUGAUGUCUAUAUAUUAUAUUACAAAAAUAUUUUGAUAUGAAUCGAAUUUGUGCUCUCAGUCUAUGUUUCGAUGGACCCCACUAAUGAAGAUUAUACAUUAGCUUUCGAUCCUAUCAAUGAGGAUUAUACGUUGGUUUUCGACCCUGCCAAUAGAGGUUGUGCAUUGAUUUUUGGCCCUGCCAACGGAGAUGGUGCAUUGAUUUUUAACCCCGCCAAUGAGGGUAAACAUUGGCUAUAGUCAAGACUGUUGAACUAUGUGUGUUUUGACUCGAUUCGAAUUUAUGAUCAUAUAUAUAUAUAUAUAUAUAUAUAUAUUUUGAAUAUUUAAAAAUAUUUAUUUUAUUUAAGUAAGCAUGAAAUAUGUCUUUGUGUUAUUUAUGGCAUUAUUUUUGAACAUUAUAUCAUAUGAUAAUAUUUGGAAUGUUUAGUUGAGAUAUUCAUUAUUUAUUGGACUGUCUAGCUCCUUACCUCUCUUUUCAUUUUUCAAAUUUAGUUUCUUAAUUAUAGGCAUGGGUAUUAUUUUGAGAGUGAGCUAGAAGCGAGAAUCAACAAUAUAGAUUUAUCAUGAUGUUUUUAUAAGAUUUUUAUUUGAGAUGUAAUUAAUGUGAGUUGAUUUUGGACUAAAUUUAUUAUGAUUUUUGCUGUGAUGUAUUGAUAUCAUUUUUGAAAUAUCUUGCAUAUUUGUGGAGAAAAUUUUUCAUAAGUAUCCGGUGAUUGCCAUAACCUUCGGCUCAUGAUCUCAGAUCGGAGGCGUAACAUUUUCAAUGAUUAGUUUUUGGCUCCAAUGGCUGGCCCAAGCUUCCUAACGGCCAAAAUUCAUUUUCCAGCAACUCUUAAGCAUAUUAAGAGCUGGAGAAUCAAUUAGAAAGAAAACCAAGUGGAUUUAAGAGUGAAAAAUCAUCAAAUAGGAUGAGGUUCAUUGAAUAUCCUUGAAAAAAAAAGAAGAAUUAAGUGCACAGAUUUGGAAGCUUUUAAAUAGUGAUCUUCUCCAACAUCAUCUACAUCCUCUCAAGCAUUAAUUAAAGAAGAAAUCGAGCUUUAAAAGAGUGAAUCAUCAGCUUCUUCUUAGUGCCAAAAUAAGUUUAUAUUUUUUAUUUUUAUUUUCUAUGCUAAACAUUAUAUUUUGUAUUUUAUUUUCUUUACAAGUUUCUUUGAAGGAAAAAAACUUAGAGAUUAAGUCUAUCUAAAUCUGGAAUUGGAUUUGUUAGAUUUUAGUUGGUGAGCUUGCAAAAUCAAUUGGGUUAAUUGUGAGCUUAAAAAAUAAUCAGUAUACGAUUUUGGUUGGUAAGCUCAAAAAACCAACUGUGUUGAUUGUAAGUCCAAAAAAUAAUUAGUGUAUAGGUUAUGAUUGGUGAUCCCAAAAAAUCAACUAGAUUUAUUUGUAAUUCUAUAAAAUAAACACCCUGUAAUUGGAGAGAUUAUAGUGGACUUCCUAAGGGACUCUUAAGAAAUGGACGUAGAUGCAAGGUUACACCGAAUCACUAUAAAAUCUUUAUCUUUAUAUUAUGUUUUGUAUACUUAUUUUUAAUUAUUACUUUACAUUCUUAUUUACUUUUAUUAUUCUGCUAUAACAUAAUUGCAUAUACCCCACAAUCACUUAAGAUAGCUUAAAUUGAAGCAUAUCAUUAUUUAAAUUUUAAAUUUAAUUAAAAUUUUUAAAGAACCUAAUUCACCAUCCUCUUGGGUUGCUAUCUUUCUGGACAGCAUCAUAUAAGGCAUCAGAAAGCCAUAUAUAUUAUUCAAGAUAUUAUAUAAAAAUAUAAAAAAUUAUACAUAUUAUUUAGGAUGUCAAAUAUAUUCAUAGAAAGUUAUGCAAUGCAUUAGGAAGUAAUAAUACUAUUUUCUUUCUUUAUUCUACAGAGAGAAAGCAUAUUUUCAUCAAAAAAAAUUCAAAAAAAAAUAGACUUUAAAUAUCUGUCUCAUUAUUAAUUAUGCUAAAUAGACCAAUCAGUUGCCACAGUGCGCUCCAUGUUAAUUUUGCUACACUGCACAUGGUGCACAAAGAAUUACUCAUUUACACAAACCCAAAUUACUUCUGGAGUAGACCAGCCCGAAUCCCAUAAGAAAAAAAUAGAAAUUCUUUGUCCACCACCCCCAAUGGAGAAAAAAUGCACCAACCAAUCACAUUGGGUGAUGUGGUGCAAUUAAUAAUGGAGUAGAUAUUUAAUGCCGCUCAAUUUUUUUUUCAAAUUUUUUUUGAUGAAAAUGUACUUUCUCUCUAUAGAACAAAAAAAGAAUAAUGUUAUUACUUCAUGAUGCCUUAUAUAACUUCUUGUGAGUACAUAUGACAUCCCAAAUAAUAUANNNNNNNNNNNNNNNNNNNNUUCUGUAUCUUUAUAUGAUAUCAUGUAGGUUAUUAUGACUUCCUGUGAAUAUAUAUACAUAUAUGACAUCCUGAAUAAUAUAUAUGACUUUCCGUAUCUUUAUACGAUAUAUUAUUGAUUAUUAUAACUAAUAGGAAGUCAUAUAAGACGUCAAAAAGUCAUAAUAACGAUAUGUUAUUGAUUAUUAUAACCAAUAGGAAGUCAUAUAAGGCAUCAAGGAGUCAUAAUAACCAUAAAAAGUCAUAUAUAUUAUUCAGAAAGUCAUAUAUAUUGUUUAGGAUGUCAUAUAUAUCUACAAAAAAUCAUAUAUAUUAUUUAGGAUAUUAUAUAUAUUCACAGAAAGUCAUAUAAGACAUCAUAAAGUAAUAUAUAUUAUUUAGGAUAUCAUAUAUUUUUAUAAAAAAAUUAUAUAUAUUAUUCAGGAUGUCAUAUAUAUUUAUAGAAAGUCAUAGUAAUCAAUAGGAUAUCAUAUAAAGAUGCAGAAAGUUAUAUAUAUUGUUCAGGAUAUUAUAUAUAUUUACAGAAAGUCAUAUAAGGCAUCAGAAAAUAAUAAUACUAUUUUUUCUUUGUUUUACAGAGAAAAAAAUAUUUUCAUCAAAAAAAAUUUGAGAAAAAACUGAGCAACAUUAAAUGUCUGCUUUAUUAUUAAUUGCGCUAUAUGACUCAAUAUGAUUAGAUGAUGCAUUUUUUCUCUAUCGAAGGGCAGUAGACAAAGAAUUACUCAAAAAAAAANNNNNNNNNNNNNNNNNNNNNNNNNNNNNNNNNNNNNNNNNNNNNNNNNNNNNNNNNNNNNNNNNNNNNNNNNNNNNNNNNNNNNNNNNNNNNNNNNNNNNNNNNNNNNNNNNNNNNNNNNNNNNNNNNNNNNNNNNNNNNNNNNNNNNNNNNNNNNNNNNNNNNNNNNNNNNNNNNNNNNNNNNNNNNNNNNNNUAAAAACUAAAAACUAAAAUAUUNUNUUUUUUUUGCUCCCUAUGAGAUUCAGGUCGGCUCACUUCUAAACCAUUGCAAUUUCGUAUAAAUACAGCCUAGCUUGGCCAGAUUUGAAAGGUUAUAUUGGCCCAAACCUACAAGUUCUAUAGAAUUUUAUACCCAACCAUCUAAACUACAAAUCCAACCAUCCAAAGUACAACAAAUCCAUGAUUCCUAUGGUUGUAUUGGUUAUCGGACCCAACCUAACCCAAUAGAACACUAAUCCAAUCCAACCCAAACUUUUAUGAAAAGGUUGGGUUGGAUUGAUUUGAGAAAUUCUAACAUGAGGUUGGAUUGGAUUAGACUAGGAAGAUACAAAAAAGUUGUUUUGGAUUAGAAUAAAUCCUUACCCUGACCAAACCUAUCUGAGUUACCGUCCUAAAUAUGCCGAGUGCAAGAGAAAGAUGAAUAUUUUUGUGGAACUGGAAGUCGAAAAGAACCAUUCAAUUUGGAUCGACAAGUGCAUGAAUGAAUGCUAUCCGUUCGACAUGCCUUGCAAAUGACACUCCUUUGCCAAACCUGUAAUGAGUUUAGCCCCUCAAGAGCACAGGAGUAAAAGAAAUACAGAACUUUUUUCCAAGUACUGUUCAUAUUUAUAAAACAAACAUAACCAAUCAUUUUUUCACUAAAAUAUAAAAAGAUCGAACCAGUUGGUAACUUGUGGACAACUUUCUUUACUCCAGUGGUAUCCCUGCUACCAGCCGGAAUUUGGCAUGUGUUGUUGAGACCGGCUUUAUCCAGGACUACUUCACAAAAAAAAAUCUAACUAUUAAAUCCCAAGUUAUUCGUCAGCAAACUAGUAUGUGUAGACACAGCUUGUCAGUUACAGUGAAUGGAGCAUCAAGAACCUCUUCUAAUAAGUCAUUGUUUGCAUGCUUUGCGGAUAAGUGUCCAAACAGUUCUACUUAUGCUAGAAUCUUAAGUGUUCAGAAUUUUUAGAGGAUUUUGCAGGAAAUAAUAGAACAAUAUUACUUGAUGAUUGCAAGAUAAGCUAUUUUACUAUAAAGAUAUAAAUUUGGUGGAAUCAACAAUAUAUUCACAGAUUAUCAUAGUAACAUAUUAGUGGUAUGAUCAGUAUGUAAAUUUUACAAUCUUUAACAGUAUUAUUCAGCUGUUACUCAGAAUUUUAGUGUCCAUCCUAUAACAUCGAGGAUCAUCCUUAAUGGCUGAAUGGUGUGGACAACGGCAGAUAUAUUUCUUUUUGUGUUAUUAUGUCAAGUAUUUGUGAUUCUGCAUGGAAAUGGAGCAUCAUUACCAUCUUAAAACUGUCAGAGCCCAAGCCUUGACCAUGUUUCUGCUUUUGCUAUACUGGUGGUUGUACAGCUCUAAGCUCUUGCCAAAGCUGCCAUAUAUAACUAGUUGGGUUACCAUAGGUCAACUGCUCUGGUAAUCUUUGGUCUUUUAGGGGUAUGUUUUAUUUCGUUUAUCAUAGAUUUCAAGAUUCAAUUGUUUGUUUUGUAUCAUUUCUCGUCUCUGUCAGUUUGAGUAGACGUUAUAUGCACUGGCAGCAUUUUCCCUGUGCCUGAAAUAAAACAUUGUAGAUUAAGAUUCUUCCAUAGUGAAAUUGUUCAUGGAAGUCAUCAGAAACAUAAUUUUUAUCCUCUGAUAUGUUUACCUGCCAUGAAAAAUCUGAAGACAUUCAAAAUUAACUUCAUGGACAUCAUAAAAGAUUCUUGAAUGGAAAUGAAACCAUAGAAAUGAUGGAUGGAAAGUUCAAUAUGCAUCGAGAGCAUCACACGAAACUGUUACACCAAAACAGAGUAACGAAAAUAGAUAGUCAAGAUGAAAUAAUAAUCAAACAACAAACUCAUAUUUAUUACCAAGCCACCAACGUUUCUUUCCAUUGCAUACAUCCUCUUAGUUUACAAGAAACAAAAACAAAUCUCAAGAAAAAGAAACGAGACCUCAGGUUAACAACCAAACUGUUUUUAUACCAUUUGUAUCACCUAUCUCCAAGUCCUAAUAAUUGUAAAAACUGCAAGCACAAAAAUCCCGCACCUGUUCCUAUUUAAAUGGACCAGUUGGCAUCAACAGCACGAAGCAUGUGCAUCUGUCAGGAUAAUCUCAUGCUCGUCUUCUAUCCAUCUCCAAUUUGGAUGGAACUUUCACAUAUGAAGAUCACAUAGCAACCAAAACUUGAUGAACAGGUCUUAAGCCUCAUGCCAUUUUUGUUUGUAUUUGCCGAUGGACAUGUACAAGGAACUCAACAUAGGAAAGGCCACCAGGAGCCUUGUCUUCAACCAUAUAUGAGAAGAAAAACAUACCUGCAAAUUUAGAAGUCCAGUGCAAGUGUUAGCAAUAACAGCAGUUACUCGGCACAUAAAUCAGCAAGAUAUCGUGUACUUUGCUAAAGAUUGUGCAACAAAUAAAACAACUUUGAAUAACUUCAAAUAAUAUGUUUUGGCAAACAUUGAACAGAAAAACACAUCUAUGCCUCGUUACUAUUGGAGAAACUUCUGAAAGCAAGGGUUUGUUAACCAACCUGAUGGAUCUCCUUUUCUGCAUAAUCGAAAACUGCACCAAAAGUUCUUAUUGUCAAUGUUGCUAUUUUAACUACCGAAAGCUAAAAUUACAGAGAGCAGAAUAUUUGCCAUACCGCAAGUAUGAACAUCUCUGGCGUCUAAUCUCGUUAACAACAUCAUUUAGUUUCUUUGAAAGAUCAUUAUCAAAUUGCUGCAGUACCAGCUGCGAGGACAAUGAAAUGAAUCAGAAGUACACCCCAUGUUGAACCAGGAAAAGAGAAGCAUGGCUGAUGAUUCUAAACUUUUACAAUAUGAAUCUACUAGUAUAAUGAAGGAAUAUAUCAGAUGCAUGCACUUCUUUUUCAAUAAAAUUGGAUGGACUUAUUAGUUGUUUAUAAACAUAUUUAUCAAGGAAAUUGUUCAACAAAUUCAAUGCCUAUGGUGUGCUGUAUGCAUAUAACAUUUUUUAGUAUUUGUCCAAUAAUAUUUCAGAGACUGAACAUUCAGGGAAAUAUCACUCAAAGCUUAGGGAUUCAUAUACAAAAAACCUACUUCACAUAUAAAAGCUAAACAAUAAAAAGUGAGGGUUCACCCAUAGAUUCAAAGCUAGGUCAUUUUUAAAUAACUAAAGUGCAUAUCAACGUAAGUUCAUAGUAUUCCAUAGUGAUAAAACCAGCAUGUUUUAUCUUAUUGAAUUUCAUGCUUCGGAUAGGAAAAAUUGAGGGAUUCAUAAUUUGAAGAUCAGGAGGUCAUACAAAAGAAAAAAAAAGUCUCUUAUUUGGCAAAACCAAAUACCUGAUUAAGGCUUCAGACUUCAAGUCAUCUUACAAAAAAGAAAAAGUUUCUAGUCAUAAAUGACUGACACCAUAGCACAAAGGCAUCAGUUGUUAAACAAUGGAACCUGCGAUUCGUGGUGGCACUAUGGUAUUUUAGCCUCAAUGUUGAUUGCAGCAAUUAUGCCGAAAGACCAAAGAGAAAAUUCAUUAUUCUCUGGAAAAGCAUGUUCAUGACCUCAGGUAGUAAUGAAGCCAAAGUAAAUAUUUUGAAAUAGGUUUGUCAUGGUUAACUUCCGGGAAAAUUGCUAAGUUCAGGUCAUAGGAGAAUGCACCUUAGCUGUACAAGCAGUCUCAAGGUGAAAGAAGAUAAAUAGAGAAUUUACAAAUCCUAUAGUAAAAAUGUUAAGCAACUAUGCUUUGAAAUGAUCAGGUGUGACCAGCAAUCCAAACCACCAAACACUGCAAUUGUAUCGACAGCAGAAGUAUCCACAGACAACCGAACUUGAGAAAUUCACUUGUACAAGGUAAAAUAACCAGCCUCCCCACCUAGAUGCAGGCAUAUCGGCAAUCACCAGCUUCAUGAACAUAAUGAUUAUCCCAGCAUCAAGCUACCAAGAAUUACGCAUGCAGAGGAUACAUGAGCUAAAACUGCUUUGCCUAAUCUGGUAAAUGAUCCGAAAUGUCCUACCAUAUUUCUUACCUAGCUGUACACCUCUGGCACAUAUGAAAUUUUCCUUCAAGCUCAAUCAGAAAGAGAUUAUCGAAUCCCAUCAUGAAUUGCGGAAGGAAGGAUGUGAUCAUUUAACAUACUUCAGUCAUCCAGAGAUAAAAAACUCCUUUGUUCUUCAAGCAUAUUUACUUAAUUUCCAAAAUGAGAGCUCCUGUUUGAUUUUAAUCUACAUGCAAAUUCUACAAUAGACCCUAGCUUAAAUCAAAACCCACAGAGGAGGCUUUAAUAAUAAGAUACCAGGCCAUAAUAUUGGGUGGUAGUUGGCUGCUUCAGAUGGUUGCUAUGGAGCAGCAUUACUACCAAGUAUUGCAAGUCUGAAUUUCCUUUUUAAUCACUUACAGGCUUGCCACUUUACCAUCAAAAUGACUUUAUUAUGCAAAGGCAACUAAAAACAAACAUUCAGUCAAUUAAAGCAAUUCUCAGCUGCAUGAAUGCAAUAACAGGCAUAUGAUAGAACCAUAACCAUAUGUUAAGGAUUUAGGUCGACCACCAUCUGGUAGAGACUAAAACAGACAACUUGUUUUUAUAAUUCUGGAUUUUAAGAUUCAUUGGCCAUACAAAAUUGCAAAUCCAGUAAAUAAAUUCUGUUUAACACACUGAUAAAUCCUGAUUCAUUAUUAAGGUCUUUAAUGCGUUGUAUGCAGUCUUCUGAAAAACAACUCCACAGGUGUUUGGCAUGCCAAAUAGAUCCUCCAGAAGAAUACCCAAACCUAGAAAGUUGGAUAUGGUAUGAUAGAAGAGGAUAGGGGUGGAUAGGAAGCGAGAGAGGUGGAUGGAAUCACAGUUUCCAUAUUUUAAAAAGAGAUGCCUCUGUAUAACCCCUAAUCUAUGGGUUUACAUUGAGUGUAGAUCAAGAUGUGAAUUGAUGGAGGAGCUGUUCGAGCUUUCAUUGGAUUUCUUUGAAAUUUUGAUGCAUCAGAUAACCAAAAGUGACCAAAUUCAGAGAACAAGCUCCAAAGUUCAGCUAUAUAUGUAUAUGCAAAGACCACACUGAAACAGGUUGACUUUAACUACUAAGUCGCAGAAGGUUUAGACGCAUGCCUGGGUUGGAAUUCCGUCCGCAGAAGAAACUCCAAAUAAUUGUUGGAGAGUAUCUGGAUUCACCAUGUUUCCUACAUAAAUUACAGCAUCCUCACCAUUUUCCAUCAGAUAAAUUCCAUCAUCAUUUACAUGCUCACUGGAUAAAGGGAUUGUAGCUGAUAAAAGAGAUCCGUCAUCCUCCUGUCACAUCAGAAAAACUCAAAUUUAAACAUGGAUUUACUAUAAUAAUACAGUACAUUGUUUGCAGAUUUUUUUCAGAAUAUUAACUAAUCAGUACCUUUGAAACCAGGUCAUGAAUAGAUAUCAUCCUAGGAUACACCAAAGGAACAGCAAGCGAAAUUGGAAGUGAAGCAACAUGGCUGACCCAGUAGGAGCGGUCAUCCAACCGCCCAUCAUUUCGCAAGCCAAUGCUUUUGACCAGAGCUGGAACAUAACAAAGUAACAAAAUCAAAGUCACUAGCAGGCAGGUAUACAGCAUUUCUGUCAUUCUACAUGUACAAGGUUGAUUUAGUCUGACAACGGCAAUAUUGCUUAGUGUCACAAUGGCAAUAUUGCGCAAGGAAACAAGCGAGCAAAAUCAGAGUGAAUGUUGACACACCUAACACUAAUGUAACCAGUACCAAUAUGACAUUGAAGAUCAUCUUUUAGAUUUAAUUUAUAAUAGCAUGUAAAACCACACAUAAAUGUAUAAUAUAAUAUAUUCCACAAAUUCAACCACCGACCCUGACCUAUUUUAUCUUCUCUCAACACCCUCUCUUUGACCACUCCCAACCCCCUCUUCUUUUGCCUGGGUAGCAUCUAACAACUGCAUACCAUUGGUCACAUCCAUCACUAGUGCGUACUUGAUCACAAAUUGUCGUCAGGAUCUUACAAACCACAGUCUGGUAUGAUCCAGACCUAAAUGGACCUCAGUGAUCUGGAUCAGAUCCCUAGAUUAAGAUCAGUAUGGAAAAUGAGAUAUGGACUGUAGAUCAUAUAAUCCUCGAAUUCUAAGAUCCAGAUACAAGUCAUCUUUUUGCAAACUAAAGCUAUUGCAUUUCCAUUCUUUAAGAUGAAUUAGUUUCUGACUGAUGCAAUGUCCAAAUCAUCACUAGCAAACUUUCAAAACAUCAAGGGUUUAAAUCUUAUCAAAUUUUUUUUCAACUUUUAAGAGUAAAGAAAAUUGAGAUUUUGUUGUUUCAGAACUAAGAGCUAGGGUUUUUUUCCUUUUUCAAUCUCUCUCCUAUCUUGUUGAAAAUAUAGAUUCUUUCUACAACCACUUAAAACAAAGAAACAUUCAAUAAGCUUCUUCUACAUACCUUGCUUUUGGGUCAAAUUACUCAAAUUAAGAUAUUCUAUGGAUUUAAAGGGUGAAAUAAAACUAUAUUAAGCAAUCAAAAAUUGCCCCAUCCAUCCUCCCUCUAAAUCAUCAUUGGAAACAAUGUUAUGACUCCCUAGGUCCCCCAACCAUUGUCAGCUCAAUAAGCUUCUUCUAUAUAGAUUCUUUCCACAACCACUUACAACAAAGAAACAAUCAAUAAGCUUCCUUCCAUAUACCUUUCUUUUGGGUCAAAUUACUCAAAAUUAAGAUAUUCUAUGGAUUUAAAGGGUGAAAUAAAACUAUAUUAAGCAAUCAAAAAUUGCCCCAUCCUCCCUCUAAACCAUCAUUGGAAACAAUGUUAUGACUCCCUAGGUCCCUCAACCAUUGUCAGCUCCCUCCACUCUUGUGUACCUCUACCACAUCCACUUGCCUCCAGACUCCACUUGCAAUGAACCUCAUCUGCCAUGCCAUCAGCCCCUUUCCAUUGCCCUCCUCCAAGAUGAGUGCCAACCCUCCUUUAAGUCUUGCUUAAGCCAAAACCUUGACAGGGUCAGGUAAUCAAAUCAAGAAUCUGAUUACAAACAUUAGUGUUUGCCCAUGCUCAACGUAUGCCAUAAAGCACAUAUCAUGCCAAUGGGUCACAGGCAGUGCACCAGUGCAUUUAUGACAUACUUUAUUGUUGGAUAAGGCUUGAUUACAUGCAUAGCAGCAUAAUAUGUAUACAUGCAUAUAUGCAUGCAUUCUUGCACCCACUUGGUGCAUAGGUUAAAGACCACCAAAGCAUGUGAUUUUUUUGGUUUGUAGGCAUUUUUCGUUCUACAGAUAAUGACCAGUGGUGUGGACUGGGUGCCCCAUUUUCAGUUCUUCUCCAAAUCCAAUCUUUAUCAUUGGGAUAAGGCUUGGUGCACACCUACAUAACAUGCAUAGAUGUGUAUGAACGUAACCAAGAAAAUUUAAUAAUGUCAGGUUCAUGAACAAGACAAUCAAUAAUGAACUCAGUAAAUUUAACAAAGAACAAUUUAAAUUAGAGUUCAGUUGACAACUUGAUUGAUAUUUCAUGCGAAGUAACACUGAUAAUGAUAAUUAUAUUCAUGCUUGAACUAUUAUAUCAACUAUUAAAGAUAGGCAAACAAGUUCUUUCAUGCGCAGCAUAGAGUAUGUACCAGAAACAUUUUAACCUCAGGCUGGGGAAAUACCUAGGGUAUAUAGAGGCAAAAGCUUAAGAGCCUCCGGAAGAAUUAGCUGUCCGGAUGAUGAUACAGUUGCACAAUAUUUACGAUAGGAGUGUAAGAUGUUGAUGCAGAGGUUUGUUAUUUGAUCCCGAACUUGAGAUAGAGGACUAGUUGGGAUGCCAUUUGCAGCUGUAGGAUGCAGAACAAUGAAAAAAGUCAUUUACUGCAAGAGCAAACAACAAUACUUAAGAAUAUUUUACCUUGCUUCAGAAAACAGGCAAACUGAGUGUCCAGAUCAGCUGAACGAAACAGAUUGCUAAGCAUGCUGGUGCAAGGAAGCGAGAGAUUUAUAAUUCGAAUUCUUCUUUGCCCAUACACUGUAGUGUAAAGAACUGCACACUGGACAAGGAAGCAAUAGUAAACAAGAUUAACUCUCUAAAGUAAUAGAUGAUAUUGCCAUCAAAAGUUAAACACAAUGUUAAUAAUUGAAACAUGAAGUGUAAGCUAGGUUGUACAAGGCACAACAGAACUGAGUUGAACGAUGUGAAAGCAGCAGUGCUCAUCUUUGCACGUAAGUUUUUAAUCAUACCUGGAAAGCACAUUCUGAACCCUCCUGGAACUUAUCAUCAUGUUUGAAAGUGACCAUUAUGGUUUUGUCGCAAUCGAUCUGUGUCAAACAAGCUUUCUUAGGGCUGCAAAUCAAUAUGCAAUGUAACAAUAAAGCAGAAUAGACGUCUUGUCAUAUCAAUUCAGUGUUAGCAAAUCCUAUUCUAACUGACAUUGUAAAAAGUGUUUGAAUCAGAUACAUCAGUAGGGAGGACGAAACUUCCCCAUAAAUGAAAAAAUUAGAAGAUCGGUCUUAAUGAAAUAUUCAAAAUGGGACCGAUCAGAGAAGAGUUAAAUGCAAUAGUACCGCUGCCGUUCUAUUAUAGUGUCGGAAUGUGGCAUAGUAUCCGAUUUGGCAUACCGAGUGUUGGUACACUCCCAAACCGUAUACCGGUCGGUACCGGUAUGGUAUGAUAUGAUCAUUACACACCGUUAUCGACCGGUAUGGCAAACUUUGGUAAAAACUAAGUGAAAGGGAUAGGUUAGCAAUGUUGAAUGGAAGUGUAUGUGAAAGCAGAUCCUGCUCUGUAUUUGGACAUCCAAUUCAGUAAAAUUAGGAAUUCAUCAUAUAUUUCAAGAUUAAUAAAGUAUUUAUAAUUCUUGAUCAAGAAUGCAGCUUUACAAAAGUAGCUUAGUUUUAAGGACACGAUUCUAAUCAUCAAUCAUUUUCCCCUUUUCGAAUAAUUAUUCACUUUGUAAUCGCAAUUUAAACAGAAGUUCUACUUUUAUCUUUACCAAAAAUCCAAUUAAUAAACAAGGUAUUAUGUUAAAUAUGCAUAUUAUCUUUAUAUUAGUUGACUUGACAGAUAAGUCAAAGAUGUGUAGGUAUAUGAGUUUAAUAAAAACUGUCAUAUUGGAAAAAACAUGGUGUGAUUGAUUUCCAUAUCUUGAUGCUAUUAUACAAAAAGGGCAAGGACAACAAAGAUUUUAUAUAUAUACAUAUACGUGCGUGCGUGUGUGCAUGCGUGUGUGAGUGAUUGCAUGACAUGAUAUAGCAGAGAGAAGCUUCCAAUUCAAUCUUGUCAUGUUGCUAAAAUAGAAGAGGAAGUGGGUGCUGGGAAGUGGAUAUUUUAGACCUUCUAGUAGGGAAGGGCUUAGGAAGCAGGUGUGAGUUAAAGAUUCUGGGAAGAUUCUGAAUUGGUGCAUUAACCUAGGUAGAAGAUUCCGGCUAUUAAGAAACAAAGUCAUGAUUUAUCAGUGCUCACAUGCUCAUUCAUGUAAUCAUAAUUAUUUAUGAAAACAUACAAGAGCCUGGAUAAAUUCAGCCAUCAUUUCUAAAAUCUUAUGACAGCAACAGAAGAAUAGUUUUUGGUGGCCAAUAACAUAGUAGGUUAGUCCUGGUAUCUUGCCAGUUAUCUACUCGUACCUGACUACUUAAAAUCGAUUCAACCCUUCAAAUGAUUUGUUAAGAAAUUCAAAAUGUGAAAUAAAUUCACAGCAGCAUGAUUUCCGAAGUCAGAAAACAGCUUAAAAAAUAUAAGAGUACCGACCGCAGGAAGAUCAAUAUCAGUAGGAAUGCGCUUGCAAAAACUUCCAGAGUACUCCUGAACUUGAAGGCCCUAUGAAGAAGUAAAAUAGAGAAAACAAUAUUCAUGGCCCAAGGCAAGUUUAGUUUAAAAAUAUAACCAUUAAUUCUAGCAAGUACAUCUCUCAUAAGACUUACCUGGCUGCAUCUUACGCGCAUCACAGCCUCAAAACCUUGGGGUCUACUGAUAUUCCAUCUAAGAUCAUUGUAGAGUUUAGCAGUAUCGGAAAGCGCAGAAAAUGGGUAGUAAUAAUAAACCUGCAACAAGGAAAAAGAAUAUAAAUUACUUCUCAAAUGCACCCACAUCUGAAACAACACCUAUCACCACAUUCAUGGUAUUAUGUGGCUUCAUUCUUUCAUUUCAGUACAUCCUCAAAAUAAAUUUAUAAUUUGUUAUCUUUGAUUCAUAACACAUUCGAUGUUUAAAAAAAAAAAAUUAUCACCUAACUCAUUUGUACCCAGAAGAAUAUCUACAGAUGUCAUAAAUAUAAAAUGUUUCAGUUCCAUUGAUUUUAUUAACAGGUAAAACGGUGCCCUUUGCCAUAAUUUUUGAUAAAACACGAGAGCUAAGAAAGACUACCUGUCCUCCAGUAGUUCUUGGAACAACAGAGAUAGAAGCGAUGUCCACAAAGGUCUGGGUCGUAAGGAAUAUAUCCACACAAACCUGGAAAAUGUUAUGUUAUUAUUUUGCCUACAUCCAAGAUAGAUUCGUUUCAAACUUGAGCUCGGUUACUUGUAUAAAAUCACCUGAUAUUCAGCAAACUCUAUUGCCAUUGUCUUUAGAGUCUUGUCUGCUGGCUGAAGCAAUUUAUGGGCCUCCUGAAAUCCAGUGAAGAAUGUUUGCCUAUUCAACUUUCAUUUAGACUUGAAUUUAUGAUGGAAUCUAUUUAGGCCUAUAAUAACUUACAAACAAAUCAGAAAGUUAAUUUUAUCAUUUAGACUUCUACUAGAAGCAUAAAGUGCCACAGUAAAAUUAAGAAUAUUAAGGACAGGAAAAUUAAGAAUCAAGCCACACUGAUCUAACUGCAAGUCAGCUUAUGGAUAAAAAGUUAAAGACAUUCUAAAAAUGAAUAGCUGAACUGUCAUGAAUUUUUUUUUUCGAGUCAGAACUAUCAAGGGUUCACGACGAUUCCAGAUUCUGGCAUCUUUUGCAAUGGCUGAGUCCCUUGAAGCUCGUAGUUAAUAAGUAUCCACAAAAUACCAUUAUUAAUGUAUAAGCAAAUGUACAAGAAAUCUGACAAUCAAGAGCACAAGAAUAUUAGAAGCUAUGUAUCGUAAAACCUUAUCUCCUGAAGAAAUAUUUGUUCUUCCUUCUGCUUCUCUGGAGGAAAGAGACCCAAUACCAACUGAUGGCAAGACUGCAAGGAACAAAAUAUAAUCAGAAGCUAUUCUAUUAAAUAUAACAAAAUACAACCAAAAAAGAGAUGAAGCAAACUUUACACCCAUGAACUAAAAAGGUUGAGGCCAUACACAUUACGGAUUACAUACAUGUAUACAAAACAAAGAUACAGACACCCAAUUUUCUGCCCAUCUGCCUAAAUUGGUCCCAAAAGGUUGAAAAUUAUAAUCAACGAAGCACCUUAGGUACCAUAAUAAUACAUGUUUCAUUUUAAAGUGUAUCAGCAAGGGCAGAUGAAUAGUUGCAACUUGCAAAUAAUGAAACUUGGGUGCAAAACUAUAAUAAUUGCCAUUUGACAUUUUCAUCCCUAAUUCAACUAUAAUAAUAGGGCACCAUUUAGUUUGGAGUAAAGUCUUUUUUUCCCAAUAAAAGCUUUGAAAUAUCAAGAAUCAAACCUAUAUUGACCAAGGGUGGGUAUCGCAUGUGUUGUAUCAAGGAUCAUGCUGACAGAAGAUAUCAAUAGUUAUGUAUAGAUAGCCCCCAAAUAAACCCUUGGUACGGCAUUUGUGCCCUCCAAAAUCUAUCAUGUUUUCCAGUCUCAAUGGUAUGUUUUUGUAAGAAAUAAAGCAGGGGUGUUGAUCUAAGUGUCCUAAGCAUGACCUUCUGUGUGCGCUGAAGUCAAUGACAUUCAAAUUGUCAAAAAAGAAAAAAAAAGAUCAUAUAAAUUGGAGCAUAUAACAUAUUUGCGAUAAAGAUCUAUAACGUGCAUACUCAUAACAUAAUGAACAAUUAGAAAUAGCAUCCAGGUUUUUCAUAAAGACACUUCACUUAAGAAAAAAUUACGUAGGAGCAUAAACAAAUCAAUGUUCUCCCCUUCUUCUUGUACUAACAGCUGGUGGGAAUCCUUAAAUUAGCAAUCAUUUUGUUGUAUUUAGUUCGACAUCUAACAAGAGGUUGAUCUCUACCCAAAUUUGAAUUAAAUUUCUCAAGUUAUCCACUUUACAACUCGAUUUCCUAUUUCUUUACUUCGUCUGAAAUUCAAAUAAAAACAUGGUUGUUCUAGCACCAUAAUUCGAACAUUAAAGGUUGAAUCAUGUGAUGAUUGACAUUGGAUGCUUCAAGAAUCUCCCUUUGCCCAUUUCAAUCUACAAAUUGAGAACAAACCUUUUUCCCUUUGCUUGUUUCAAUCUACAAAUUGAGAACAAGCCUUUCUCCCCACGAGAAAUUAUUCCCUAGCAGCAGAUACCGCUCGGUCUAGGCAUGAAUUCAGACUUGGCAGCAAGGUGACCGUGAUCUAUCCUUGAAUCACCCAAUUCAGGGUCAGUUCAAGUGGUUCAGUUGGUAUUUGCCUGAAACAAACCCCACUGUUUUGUUUUAGGGUUGGCACUUUGCACAGUAUAUACCAAGAUGUACAAACUGAAUCGACCAGUUUUCAAACAUUGGUUUCAUAAUUGCUAACCCUUAUCUCCAAGGUUUCCACCUCUAACCAACUUUGAUCAUCUCCCCCUAACACUACUUCAUCAUCUAAAAAUUAAAUAAACAAACCAACCUUCUAUGUUUGAACAUCAGUUAAUACAUAAAUAACAAAUGAAAGGACUUAACUACUGUGGCUUUCAAAUUACUAAUAAUAAUAAUAAUACUUAUAUAAUAAUAAUAAUAAUAAUAAUAAUAAUAAUAAUAAUAAUAAUCACAUUAGUGAAAAACCACUAUUUCAGCCUUUAUUUUAAACAUUGAUGUAAGCUUCCUGCAAUAAAACCAAUUGGCAUGUCCCCUGGUCAUUGGCAGCCUUUAUUUUAAACAUUGAUGUAAGCUUCCUGCAAUAAAACCAAUUGGCAUGUCCCCUGGUCAUUGUUCCACCACCCUCUAACCCAAUUUAAAUUGUUCUAACAAAAUUAAUUCACAAACUACAUCAUAUAUAUCCCCAUUAGCUAGUGCAGUAGUAAACCUCCAACCAUUUGCAUUUUCCUUGUCCUGGAGUUUUCAUUAGGUUAGCUAGUAAAUAACAAGAACCCAUGUCUCCAAAGAUAUUUCUAAACCUUUAUUAGUAUUUUAUAAGCCUAAGACAGUUUAGUUGUUAACCUGUGCAUUUUACCGAUUUUUAACACUUAAGUGAGAUUCUGAUAAAUCAUGUCCACCUUUAAAGUGUUCAUUAGCUUCAGCAAUGAACCAUUUACAGUUUCGUGGUCUUCCCUCUUUCUCAUAAACUGAAUGGUAUUUGCACUUGGUUCACCUGAUUAUUUACCUGCAUCUCUAAAUUUCUUAUCUAUCAUAAAGAUAUUAUAAAUUAUAAAGAAUUAUCAGAUAUAAAAUUAUGCUGCACAGUACCAUUAGUAACCAAAUACAGCAAAAAUAUAUUAAUGUGGACAAGUUAGAACAUUAUAAGCAUGUUAUAUACCCAACAUAUUUAUGUCAGCCUUUACACCCAAAGUAGCAUUGUGGAGCUUUUAAUCCUUGUUCACCGUAUCAUUCAGCUCUUCCAAAGGCCACUUCAAAUUUAAGAGACUUUUUUUUCACAUAAAAAUCUAAUCUUAUGCAGCACUUCACCAGCUUUGUUGGAGAUAACCAAAUCAACCAGGUAAUUGGAAGUCCAUUAGUUAAUCUGGAUGCCGAUAUGCAUCCAUAUCGACUUUCUCACAUGGGCCAUAGCCGCCAUACAAUUUUAUGUGCUAACGAGAAUGAAGAUGGGAAGAGAUGACUCAUUGUUUUUCUUGGGCAGGGAAGGGGAAGGAGGAUUCAAUUCUGAAAUAGUUAUUUUCUUUCUCUUUCUUCUAAAACUUGAUUUUCACAAGAAAAAUUGCAAAUUUGAUCAACAUAACUGAAGUUAGGUCAGGAAAGUGGCAGCAACAGAAACCAUAGGGACAAAGAGGUUUUUCUCGGAGCUUGGUUAAUAUACUGUUCAUAAGCCUGUAAGUUUCUUCCCCUUUUCUGCCAGAGCUUCGGUUAAAAAACUGUUCAUAAGCUUGUAACAUCAAGCCCAAUUCUAGCCAAUUUAUUGCUACACCAGCAUACAACAUGCUGGAAGCUUUUGCUCAACUAGAUGCAUGUAAACUAUGGCAGUAGUUUUCAAGCAAAGCCAGCAAACUGAGAUCCCCAUGCUAUCACCAAAUUGGGAGUUAAAAAAUGCUGACAUGUAGUGAUCAAUACUCCUACUUCCAGAGUCUCAAACAUUCUAUGAAAAAAUGAAAUAUGACAGUUCUUAUAGUAGAAGAAUUUUAAAACUUCUAAAAAGCAUUCAUCCUACAGUUCUACUUAAAUAUUUUGUUAAAUCAAGAACCGAACCCAAAACCAACUGAGAGACAAGAAAAUUUUAAAUCUACAAGAUGUGCAGAUGAUUGAGAUAAUGAGCAAAAAAUGCAUGAUUUUGUUCUAGUACCAAAUAAAAAUAAAUGUACUGUGAGGCUUGCCUGAUUGAAACACAAGAAGCUUUCCACCUGUGGGUUUCAUAGCCAGGAACCCAGCCUGAAAUGGAUUGAAGAUAAAUAUAUAAGAUUAGUCUGUUUUUCUUUGAGAAAAAUAGCUAACAUUAUGGAUUCUGACACUAAGGAUUGAGCAUCACUCCACAUAUGUAUAUAUGAAAAUACCAAGGUAUGCUGAACCGGUACCGCCGGCCGUAUCGGCCGGCCGACGGUACAAAUCGAUACGGUUUUGUGCCGUACCGAACCGACGAAGGCAAGCGGACCCGAAUCGGAAGAAAAAAAGAGAGAGAGAGAAAUAGAGAGAGAGAAAGAGGAAGAAAGAAAAAGAGAGGGAAAGGAGUCGGCGGGGCCGCCGGAUGGCCUCCGGCUGACUGCCGUGGUCGCCGGAGGGCGCAAUCCACGCGCGCGGCGCCGCAGGUGUAAAACAGGGGCGUCGCCCCUGUUUCGCAAUUUUUUUUUAAAAAACCUAGUUUUAAGUGAAGUCGGCAAAUAGUUUGCCGGCUUCACGAUUUUUGUAUUUUUUUUUAAAAAAAAUCCCUUAAGUCGGCAACUAGGUUGCCGACUUCAUAAUUUUAAAACCAAAAAAAAUAAAAAAUCAAAACAGACAGUCGUUUGUUUCGAAAAAGAAGAAGAGGACGAGUCGCAGAGGGGCUCCGCCCGCUCGACCGCCCUCAGGCCGUUGGCGUCGACUCGCCGGCCACUNNNNNNNNNNNNNNNNNNNNAGGCGCCGUCCGUCCGGUAGGUCCCUCGUCCCCCCUCCGAGCGCUCUCUCUCUCUCUCUCUCUCUCGCUCUUUUGAAAGUCCUAUCGGACGAUACGGGACUCGGAAGCCCUCCGGCGGCUGUAGCCGGUCACCGCCAGCCUCCGACGGCUCCCACCUCCCUCUCUCUCCUCCUCUCUCUCUCUUUCACUUUCUCUCCUUUUUUCUUUCAUACCGCCCGUGUACCGAAUUUACCGGCCGAAUCGUACUGGUUCCCUGCCGGUCCGGUGCGAUACGGAGUGUACCGGCCGGUUCGGCACGGUAUAGAAAACCUUGAAAAAUAUAUUUAUAAUUUUUUAAGUAAAGCUCUUAAUCACCCAAUUAAUUUGAAUUUAGGACUUGUUUGGCUGCAAAAUAUAUUUUGGAAGGAAUAUCCUUCCACUGUUGAAGGAAGAGACCUAUACGACAGAAUACGACCUUUUUGGCAUCUGAUAGGAUGGAUAAGUGCGGGAAAUAAGGGGCAUUAAUACACAUUGAACUUCAAGAUAGUAAGGAUUUUUAUCACAAAAACGAGAUUGCCCUCUCACUUUUUUGAAUAUAGGCAAAUGGUAAUCGAAGAAGGGAAUAAGGGUAAGCCUAUUCCGUGAUAGAAGUCUGUUCAACCAUUUUGGUGGAAUAGAUGUAUAUUCUGCAGGCCCACUUAUACCCUCACAUGUUACAAGCCCCUUUCCAUGAUCCUUUUUGGUGUUAUGCGAGGAUAUCCCCCAUUUGGAAGAAUAACCCCACUCUUAUUCCACAGCCAAUGCCCCUAGUACUACAGAAAAGUGUAAAGCUUCAGUAUCUUAUAACUAUACAGCAUCAGAGAGUUCAGAUCCCCAUGUAAAUAGCUCUUAGAAAUUAAAAUAUGAAAGAAAGAGGAACAAGCAUAGUCAGGAUGGUGAACAACCUUAACAAAAUGCAUACCUUGAUAGCUGCACCAAAAGCAGAAUCAGCGACUCUGUUAUUUUCAAACAUGUUCGGGAUGCUAUCCAGCAAUUGCUCCAAAUUUUGACGGCACUAAAUCCUCGGAAUAAAACAAGAAAGUUCUCUAAGCAUGAAAAACUUUGCUGACAGAGGAAUGCAAGUACAAGUCAGAGUUUUAAAAAAAAAAAAGCAAUCCAAACCUCAGUAAGUUGAACAAUCAGGUCGGUAUGAAGGGGUGUAUAAACAUCUUGUACGUCAGGAACAAUGAGCAUCAAAGGCUGCAAAUGUAGUAAGAAUUAAUAAAAUAAAAGAAUCAUUUCAUGCAAUCCAUUAGUAUCAAUAGCAUCCUGUGCAAAUGUAUCUAACUCCAUAUCCUCAGAGACUUUGUAAGUGAAGAAAUGCUGAGAGAUUUCUUUGUAGCUUUUCCACAAUGCUUGUCUGCUAUUGGAUAAGCAUCAAAAUGAUGAUAUGCGUGCAACAUGACAAUGUUUAACAGUGCAUAGACAAUCUAGACUUGAAUAUGUACCUAGCAAAUAAUCUUUUCAUAUUUUAUGAGACAUUUAAUCCAGAAUUUAGUCUAGAAAAAUGUUUCCUCAAACAAUACAGACCUUGCCAAAGAAUACAGUGCACAUGCUGUAUCUACUAGAUGACUCAAGGCACACGAGCCCAGCCAAAUUUUAAUUUUUAGUAAAAACAUAAGGUAAAUAUUGACAUAAAAACUUGCACAUGAACCGACCAGGAUACAAACAUUUGAACUCAAUUCCCAAGGUUUACUUCGUAAACAUGAUAUCAUCCUUCUUGAGGUUUUUACCACUCAAUUUUUGUCCCCAGCAGGUCCUUUCUACUGAAACAUUCUGUAGAUAUUUGUGUUAUGUGGGUAGCAUAUUUUAUUCAACAUUUGUGUUCUGUGGGUAGCAUAUUUUGUUCAUCUUACUGGUCAGGCCUGAGUGUAACAUGUAAACUGCACAACUCCCAUGGAAGGGUUGACUGAACUCAAAUUUCCAUGGAUGCAAGACAACAUAACAAGAGAAAUAGGUGAUUCUUAAUAGCUCUACAAAAAUAAAAGUUCAUGCCAGCUCUCAGAUGCUUGUAAGACAUGAUAAAAACAUCUCCAUUACCUGCUGUGAUGCUCGUUUAAGAUUGUAAAAAUGAAUAGAUGAAUCGAAGGUCGCUAUGCCCACCAUUGUUCGAGGACCUUCCUGCAAAGAGGCAACAAAUUUCAAUAAAUAACUUGAACACCUUCCAGUCUCUCUUGCUCAUAAAAGUUGCAAGAUGCAAAAUAAUGGGUGAAUACAAAUGGAAACUAAAGCUUGUAUCAAGACAUUAACAUUGAUGAAAAAUUUAAUUAGACAAUAAUUAUUAGAAAAGAAAGGCAAAUAGAAAAUAUAUGUUAUAGGUUGAUUCCUUCCAUCAAUCUCCAAAACAUAAUUCUAGCAGUGGUCAAAGUGAUCCAGCUGAUGUGGCAAGUCGUUACUAGUUAAGAUGACAAAGAAUGAUUUAAAAACUGCCAAGUAGAAACUAAAACCCAUAAUUAACUUUUUAUUAAUAUAUCUGUUCCAUGAUUCAAAUCCCAUUGGAUGGGGCCAUCCGAGUUUUUCCAUGGAAUGGGAUGCACCACCAUCCAUGGGAUGCACCACUCUGGAUGGUGGAUGUCUUGUCUUUUCCCAGUCCCUGUCCUGCCUUAUCCCAUCCUGACACUUGGGAUUGUAGGACAUACUGCCAUUCCACCAGGACUUAUAUCCUUGCUUAUGCUGAUGUCAUUGUUGAUCUCAUCAUAAUGUUAGCAUGACCACAUUGGCAUGAUAACAACAAAACUAUAACACUAAAAAUGAAGCUAACAUUAGCAAAAUAGUCUACCUGCAUCACAUAACAACAAUAAUGAGCCAGUGUUAAUUACUGGAUACAAUAAUGCAACGUCAUGCUUUUCAAGCAAAAUUAGUCUAACAUCGAGACUAGGGGCAGUUGCACACCUUUUAAUGCACAGUAAUUAAUUGAAACAUUUUCUAAUGGUAAGUAAUUAAUUGAGAAAACUGGCACAUCAAACUACAAGAUUCCCUUCUAUUAGCAAAAGCUCAUAAGCUGUGUUAAGAAGUGUAUGACUCUAGUUCUAGGAUUAUUAUAUGGAAACUAAAACCUUCAUGCUCAACAAGUUAGCUGCCCACAACUUCUGAUAUAUGAGAAAUAUCCCAGAGAGCUUAAGUAUUUGGUAAGCGGGUUAAAGUAUCAGGACCAACAGGUAGACAAUCCAGGAAUUAGACAGCCAUUUUACCUCUCUAUUCACCAUACAGUUAUAUGGUGAUUAUCAUAUUUCUUUAAGAAAAAGCAUCAGCCAUGAUUUUGACAAUGACGUUGUAAAGUCAGAUACUCAUGACAAUAGUUUUGAGAGAUGACAAAAUCAUGACUUGUCACAAUACUGACAACAAUAUAAGUGGAUAAUGGCAGGGAAUCUAGUACCUUUUCUGAUAUAACCAGUGACAGGAAAGGGCCCACAGUGCCUAAAAAGUACUAAUGGUUAAGAGUUAAGAGGUAGUAGGGCUUUUGUUCCAUGAGAGGAAUGAGUGUAGCAUGGUUAUGAUCCUUAUUUCAACUUUGUCAAGGUUUUGAUUGGUUGUUUCAUCAAUGAGGGAGUCCUUUAAUUGCUUAGCCACUUAUCUGCGGCAUUGUUGUGAUUUUCCAAAGCAGCAAAGACUAACUGCUUAUAGAAAAAACCAAUCUGAUCAACUGAUCCUUAACACCUACAGUAUGUUAUGACUGCCAAAUAUGAAGGAGAAUAAAGGAAAAGAAGAUCUCAGAAACUCUGAGAAGUCCUAGUCCUAACCAAACUCUCAGAUCGAUGAACUAAUUCCCUGCAAAACAAUUCUCUGCAUCAGGUCUUUUCAUUUAAAGGAUCAUGCCCAACAACCAAGCAAGCUAUACUUGAUUUUUCUUAAACAUUUUUUCCACGUGGAUUAUUGAACUACCACAAACACUAACAUUACUCCUGAUUUUUCCUAAACAAUUUUUUUCACAUGGAUUAUCAAACCACUAUCCAAUGUUCUAGUUCUAUCUUGAGCAGAUUUUAUCAUUGCAUUGGUAGCACCCGGUGGUACAAUGAAUCAAAAUAGUUGGAUCAUGACAAUAAGACCAAAGGAUGAAAACUGAGUUUAACCAGAGAAGAGCUGGAUCACCUAUGCAAUCUUGUAAAAAAAAAAAAACAACAGGAGAUUGACACCAAUGAAUUCAAAGAACCAAUAGUAAGUUCAUUUUCCAUACCAUGGCACUUCACAAGAAAAAUCUGAUAAUGAAUUCUUUAGACAUAAUGUGUGCAAUUAAAGUUAGAGCCCAACAAUACAAAGAGCAAGAAUACAAUUUGAAGUUUGAUAUUCUAAACUUAAACAGAAAAUUCCAAAUCAAGGAACUUUUUAUUGCGGGAAUUGUCAAAAAGUACUUGUUUGGCUGCAUCAUGCUCCAGAGGGAAAAGCUAGAACAUAUGCUUCAAGAAGAAGAAGAAGCAAAUACACACAAAAAAAAAAAAAAAUGAUGCAAAAUUUUCAUGACUAAAGAUAAAGGUCUUCUGAGAGAAAUUCUUUCUCAAAGAUUAUGAUGCAGUAAACUACAUAAACCACAUCAACUUGAUGCAAGAUUCUCUUAGCAGCAUAAACUAAGGAGAUGACUUCAGCUUGUUCUCAAUACAGAACUUAGUCAAAAAAGCAAACCAGGAUAAUUACUUGGUUAAAACCAAUCUGAAUCAGAAUAGUCAAAAUCCAGCUUCUAUAUUCCCCAUAUGGAUCAUGGUCUAUAUGGUCAACUAGACCAUAGAUGUUAAUUUUAUAGGUUCAGACACCAUGCUUCUCCAUGCAAACACAAACAGAAAUUUUUAGAAAACAUUUAGGGCAACGAAAAGUGAAUUGAGGAGCCAGUCUAGCACAUGCUGUACAUCAGUUGGUAGAGCACAGAAGGGACAAUCUUCCAUGUCAAGCCUCCUAAGCAACAAGGGCAGAGCCUAAAAUGUGCUCACACAAGACAGCCUCUUUUAAACAUAGAAAAACACUAGCAAUGUUCUGGACCCUUAUGAUUUACUUUCUAUAAGUUGGGCCCCUCAUUGUAACCAAAGACUCAUUAAGUUGUAAUUUGCCCCAUCCCUCUUCUAAGCAAAGAGUACAUGAAAAGCUGGGUUCUACUAAAAUCAUGUUGGAAAAAGUAACCAACUCAAUUAUCAAUAGGAUGACAAAGAGAGAGAAAGGGGAGAGAGAGAGAGUUGGUGAUGGAGUGUAGAAGCCAUUGGAUUGUGUAUGUCAUUUAGGGCCUUCUUAGAUACCAGAAUUUCUCAUAUGGUGAUAUCUUAAGAUGGCUUCUCUUCAUCUCAAGGGAAUGAGAGGAAAAACAGGCACAUUGGUUGAAGGAGGCUGCCAAAGGCCUGCAAUCCAUGAAUUCUCAAGACAACAGAUUCCACCGGAAAUGUGAAUUAUGCGAUCCCUAAAAUUUAGUGAUUGGGAGAAGUAAGUUUGCCAAUCAAGAGGAAAACCACUCUCCACCUUAGCAAGCUCUUCCCACUACGCAUCCACACAGUCCCUUAACGAAGAGUGAGAGAAAGGUGGAGAGUGGUUCAGUGGAGACAGCUUACCAUAUGGGCAUUGACUAAGAAGAGAAUUGUGUGAAGGACAUUUCAUGUCAUUUACGUACAUUCCCCCGCCUGUUUGUAAGUUGUAAUAGAACACAAAAGUCAUUUUUCUUGUUGAAGAAAGCAAGAAAAAAUGCAGUCCCCUUUGAAUUUCACAUUCCAAAACAAUAUUGACAGCAGGCAUGUUCAUUUUUUUUUCCCUUUUCCUUAUCUUAGUUUUAAGAGGGUUGGGCAUUCUUUUUAUUUGCUUUGUAGUAGAGAGGGGAUUCUCUGUUUUUUACGGUCUUCGUAGCAUAGUAAUCUUUUUUUCUUGUCUACAAAAAAUUGUAUCGCCAUAAGAACCAUAAUUUAACAUGUUAAUCAUUGCUAAAGUUUCUAAGCCCCAAAUAACAAUAAUACAAUUUCUUUUACAAAUGCCAACAAAACUCAAAAUAUUCA
rnacentral:lncRNA from 1 species